UAUUCUAAUGAAUAUAAAAUUUAAUUUAAAAAUAGUAAUACAUCUCAUUAAAGAUAAUUUUAAAAAUACAGGAAGGCAUGACAAUAAAUACUUAAUGCCACUUAUUUCUCCAAAUUAAAUUAAAGAAAGAUUACAUGUCCAUAUGUUGUCUAAUGUUUUGGGAUUCUUCCUCUCUCAGGAACCCAUUUGACACUCAGAACUCAGUGGGAAGAGCCUGGGUACCAAAACCAUCCAUGGUUGUUAUUCCUGUUAGGACUUUCUUCCAUACCCCUGCUUUGCAUCGCUGCCCUCUCUCAAGUCAUGAACCCAUGAGGAACGGAACUAUUAUUUCAAUCUAGGUUGCCAUUCCUGGAGUUCAAAGUUUACAGUUCAUCAUUAAACUCUUCAUUUCUCUUCACACAUAUAUCUCCUUGAUGUUGGGCAAAAGUAGAGAAAUUUAAAACUUAUACGACAUUUGCUUGGACUUUGGUGUAAGCAGUUUAGAAAAGAUAAUAAGGGAAAAGUUAAGGUCACUUUACUUAACACUUAGAAAAAUCUUUGGUGAGUAAAAUUUCUAAUUUUGAUUCAAGAUAAGAGGAGAAAGGUGAUGGUUACUGUUAGUGUUGAUGUUUUGGGAAUAAGUCUGUAGAACUACUUUAAAUAGGUGUAGUCAUUUAAUAACAGAAAGACAUUUAAUCAAUAGUUCAGUCUUGUUGGUAGCAGAUGAGGCAUUGUCAAUACACUGGGCUGGUGGCUCCUCAGAAUUAUUGGUUUCAGGCAUUUCUGUUUAUCCUUCUCACUAAUAAUUUAUAGCUACUAUAAAUUAUUAUAUAUCAUCAUUAUAAAUUAAUUUAUAAUGAUAAUUUCUCAUUUCUUCAACUAUACUAAGAUGGAAUUGGGGUAAUUUAAACUAAGUAAGAUGUCAACAAAAUGCUCAUGAAGAAUAUAUAAAUAUCAAACAAAGUCAAAAGCUUGUUGGUGGAGAGGUCAGUGCAUCAAGGGAAAGUUGACUCUGGUCCUAAAGGGAACCUUACUCAGAACCUAUUUGAACUGUAAUAUUAUGAUAGAGCAGUUUGAUAACUAAAGUGGCUGUUUAAGUGAAUCCAAAGACACUACCAAGAGAUUGACAAGUGUGGGAGGCCUUGAGGAGGUGCUGUCCAGUCACAUUAGGUAGUAACAUCAGCUUUCCAGCACUCAUCACUUCAUGGCAGCACAGAGGCUCUGCAAGACAGUGAAGGAGGAUAGUUGCUAUAGCUACAUGCCACUUAUAAAGGAAUAUUUAGUUUUGAGUCUAUUAGCAAGAUCAAAACAACUUUUAAUGAUCAGAAGGAAUCAUGGGCAUAAUUAGAAUACUAAGGUAAAGAAUAAAAAAGUAUGUAUGGAGACUCAGAGUUGUCCUUUGAAACUUACGGCAUGGUGACAUUGCAUGGCAAGCUAGGAAGGAGUACACUGCUAUUUACAUAUUACUAACUAUUGGAUUGGCAAUAUGUAAAACUUUAUAUUGGGGGUAUUUUCUCAAAUAAUU
rnacentral:lncRNA from 1 species